AGAAUCAACGCUGGCGGCGUGCCUAACACAUGCAAGUCGAACGCGAAAGCCCCGCAAGGGUCAGUAGAGUGGCAAACGGGUGAGUAACACGUGGGUGAUCUGCCUCAGAGUGGGGAUAACGACCCGAAAGGUCGCUAAUACCGCAUAACAUCCUGCGCUUGGAUGCGUGGAGAUCAAAGUUGGGGAUUCGCAAGAACCUGACGCUUGGAGAGGAGCCCGCGGCCGAUUAGCUAGUUGGUGAGGUAACGGCUCACCAAGGCAACGAUCGGUAUCC
rnacentral:rRNA from 1 species